rnacentral:rRNA from 1 species
AACGAACGCUGGCGGCAUGCCUAACACAUGCAAGUCGAACGAGACCUUCGGGUCUAGUGGCGCACGGGUGCGUAACGCGUGGGAACCUGCCCUUAGGUUCGGAAUAACUCCUCUAAAGGGGUGCUAAUACCGGGUAAUGUCUUCGGACCAAAGAUUUAUCGCCUUUGUAUGGGCCCGCGUUGGUUUAGCUAGUUGGUAGUGUAAAAGCCUACCAAGGCGUCGAUCCAUAGCUGGUCUGAGAGGAAGAUCAGCCACUCUGGGAGUAUGACGCGGCCCAGACUCCUACGGGAUGCAGGAGUGGGGAAUAUUGGAAUACGGGCGAAAGCCUGAUCCAGCAAUGCUGCGUGAGUGAUGAAGGCCUUAGGGUUGUAAAGCUCUUUUACACGGGAUGAUAAUGACAGUACCGGGAGAAUAAGCUCCGGCUAACUCCGUG